CGAGCACGCGCGUGUGGCAUAUCAAUAAGCGGAGGAAAAGAAACUAACAAGGAUUCCCUUAGUAACGGCGAGUGAAGCGGGAAGAGCUCAAAUUUGAAAUCUUCAAGGUUCUACCUUGACGAAUUGUAGUUUAUAGAAGUGUUUUCUGUUAGUGGAGUGGCAAAAGUUCUUUGGAAUAGGACAUCAUAGAGGGUGAGAAUCCCGUAUUUGGUCAUUCCUCCUAGCGUUGUGAUACACUUUCAACGAGUCGGAUUGUUUGGGAAUGCAGUCCAAAACGGGUGGUAAAUUUCAUCUAAAGCUAAAUAUUGGCGAGAGACCGAUAGCGAACAAGUACCGUGAGGGAAAGAUGAAAAGAACUUUGAAAAGAGAGUUAAACAGUACGUGAAAUUGUCAAAAGGGAAGCGUUUGACACCAGUGUUGUUUUUCCGAAAAUCAAUUACGAAUGUUUUGUUUUUGAGGAGUUAUGACUUCAUCGGCUUGCUCCUUUCCUUUACGAAACUUUCUUAAUGCACUUUUCGGUUAACAAGUCAACAUCAAUUUCUUUUGUUGUAAAAGGGUAUGAGGAAGGUGGCUUUCUUUUCGGAGAAAGUGUUUAUAGCCUUGUGCCUCUACAAUCGGAGAGAUUGAGGUCUGCAGCGUAGAUCCUUCGGGGUUAGAUACGUUUGUGCUAAGUUAUAGCUUUUCAUAGACAACUUGUUGACUAUGUUUAGUCUUGUAGCUUACUCGCUGACGCUAUUUUACCUACGCUUAGGAUGUUGAACUCUAUCACACACAG
rnacentral:rRNA from 1 species